rnacentral:tRNA from 1 species
GAAAGAGCGUCUGUUGAAGUGAUGAGUUGUAGCCUUAUUUAUGGGAUAUUUCCCCUCUUUCA